rnacentral:rRNA from 1 species
GAUCAUGGCUCAGGACGAACGCUGGCGGCGUGCCUAACACAUGCAAGUCGAGCGGAGACAGGGAGUAGCUUGCUACGAACUGUUUUAGCGGCGGACGGGUGAGUAACGCGUGAGCAACCUUUCCCAGACAGGGGAAUAACACACCGAAAGGUGUACUAAUACCGCAUAAGACCACGGGAUCACAUGGUUCUGGGGUAAAAGAAUUAUCGGUUUGGGGUGGGCUCGCGUCCGAUUAGGUAGUUGGUGAGGUAACGGCCC